UACGUAGGCAGCGAGCGUUGUUCGGAGUUACUGGGCGUAAAGCGUGUGCAGGCGGGUCGUCAAGUGGUGUAUGAAAUCCCCCGGCUCAACCGGGAUAGGUUAUGCCAGACUGACGGUCUAGAGGCUGAGAGAGGAGCGUGGAAUUCCGGGUGUAGUGGUGAAAUGCGCAGAGAUCGGGAGGAACACCAAUGGCGAAAGCAGGUAACUGGACCAUUACUGACACUCAGCUGCGAAAGCUAGGGGAGCAAACAGG
rnacentral:rRNA from 1 species